UGGAAUGUGGGACCCCACUGGGUUGUU
rnacentral:sRNA from 1 species